rnacentral:lncRNA from 1 species
CAAGACGACGAGGGGUGAGAAAGCUCCACCCCCAUUUAAAGAAUAUAUUUGUUAAACCCCCAAAAAAAAUUAUGUGCAGAAUUGAAGAAAACAUUUCAAAUUAUAUAUGUUUUAGUUAAAUCGUGUGAAUUGUGUAUAACCAUUCUUACACACAAGAUAUGCUUAUAUUAAUUAAUCAGAUUAUAUCUUGUUGACUAAACUUACAAUUAUAGAUUACUUCUGCUUCUGCGAUUAUCUGGAUGUUCGUAUCAUAAAUUUCUGGGUGGUAGUUUGUGUAGUAAAUUUGAACUGCAAAAAGUUUUAACAAUCAAUUGCUGGUUGCAGUUGGUGCCAUUUCUUCAUAGAUCGCUAUCCAGCCUAAUGUGUUUCUGAAUAUGAUUCGAAGAACAAAGCUGGGUUGUGAAAUGUUUAUCAAAAAGCCAACUUUAAUGUUCAUUCAUCUGCGUUUUUGGAGUACUAUGAAACUUUGUUUUUGUGCAUAUAGGGUCGUAGACGAACGAGAAUGUAAUUCGAGAUGUAUUGAAGGAAUAAAUUAGAAACUUAAGUUGCUUAGAUUUAUUGAGAAGCAACAUCAGUUGAGAUUACUAUUUAUUCUUGAUGUGCCAGUUUCAGCGGUGGCGAUAUUUAAUGAUGACUCCAUAAAAUUUCUCGUCAGUUGUUUUCUGACUCCUGUAAUGGUGUUCAAAGUUUUCACGCUCUUGCGAGUGGAGUAGCUAGUGAAGGAGGCACUCGACCAGGCGAACGAGAAAGCCUAGCUGAUAGAAGAUGUGAAGGUAUCAGCGUUUGGUAUGCGCAACACGGUGUCGAGGAAGAUUGGAGCAAGGUUAGAAAAGCUACAAGACCAAGAAACAUUGACAUUGGCGAAGAGGAUCAGCUGGGGGUAACUUGUGGCAAUGCCAAAAUCGUUUAUAUUUCGAGCUUGUCUUGCGUAUUCAUCGGUAUGAUUGCAGCAAGCACUUCGGUUUUGCAAUAUUCUGCAUUCGGAAUAGAUCAAGGUUCUAAUUUCGUUCUUAUGCCGUGGCCUAGUCUGAGGCAGGUCAGAGAAGUACUAAGCCCAUCACUACAGUAUAUUACUGACACCCAAAUAUGUAGUGCCAAAGGGAAAGAGUUAAGUUUCAAAAUAAUUGUGAACGUAGCACAAUCAAGAGCUAAGAAUUAAACCCGGGACCUCCCCAUUGCAGCAUCCACCUUAACCACCAUACCUAGCCUCUUCAGUGCUCAGUAAAGGGAUGGAAUAAAUACAUGUUUAUCUUAUCCAUCAGUCUAAAUUUGUCUCCGGGAUUGUGUUGUGAAAAUAGAAGAACUAGAUUUAUGUUUCUUUGUUAGAUGGUGGAUUCUACACUGUGCUGGACCAUUUUGGCAAGGUAACACACUUGGCGAUUUGUUUUGUAAAAAUAUUUGCUAUUAUAUUUUCAUUAGUCUAAUAUCUCAAUUAGAUGUCUUCUGUUUCUAUAAAUUGUCUGAUGAAAUAAUGUUGGAUUUUAUAGUAUUUAGUGCAAUAGUGAUGUGUAAGUUUCUUGACAAUCACAAUGCAUGAUUGGUUAACCUUGGAGAUAAGGAUUCAAUCUAGUUUCUUUAUUUAGUAAUUUCUCAUAAUCUUUUAUAGCCACAAAGCCUCCUUUACAACAACAUAUUCUACUUUCAUUGAUGAAAUAGAAACAAUAGGUUGCUUCUUGCUAGACCAUGUAACUAUUGUGCCAUCCAUUUUGA